UACGUAGGGGGCAAGCGUUGUCCGGAAUUAUUGGGCGUAAAGAGCUCGUAGGCGGCCAGUUGCGUCUGCUGUGAAAUCCCGGGGCUCAACCCCGGGCGUGCAGUGGAUACGGGCUGGCUAGAGGCAGGCAGGGGAGAACGGAAUUCCCGGUGUAGCGGUGAAAUGCGCAGAUAUCAGGAGGAACACCGGUGGCGAAGGCGGGUCUCUGGGCCGAUAUUGACGCUGAGGAGCGAAAGCGUGGGGAGCGAACAGG
rnacentral:rRNA from 1 species